UGCGUCGUGGCGAAGCGGUCUAACGCAGAUGGCUUUGACCCAUCCAUUUCGAGAGUUCGAAUCUCUCCGGCGCAA
rnacentral:tRNA from 1 species